GUCUAUGGCUAUACUGCCCUGAACACACCUGCUCUUGUCUGAUCUGGGAAGCUAAGCAGGGUUGAGCCUGGUUAGUACUCAGAUGGAGUAUAUUAUUUGUAUUUAGACGAAGUAUGUACUAUAAUCA
rnacentral:rRNA from 1 species